GAAUUCACUAGUGAUUGAGUUUGAUCCUGGCUCAGAUUGAACGCUGGCGGCAUGCCUUACACAUGCAAGUCGAACGGUAACAGCACUUCGGUGGCUGACGAGUGGCGAACGGGUGAGUAAUACAUCGGAACGUGCCCGAGAGUGGGGGAUAACGCAGCGAAAGCUGUGCUAAUACCGCAUACGAUCUACGGAUGAAAGCAGGGGACCGCAAGGCCUUGCGCUCAUGGAGCGGCCGAUGGCAGAUUAGGUAGUUGGUGGKAUAAAAGCUUACCAAGCCGACGAUCUGUAGCUGGUCUGAGAGGACGACCAGCCACACUGGGACUGAGACACGGCCCAGACUCCUACGGGAGGCAGCAGUGGGGAAUUUUGGACAAUGGGCGAAAGCCUGAUCCAGCCAUGCCGCGUGCAGGAUGAAGGCCUUCGGGUUGUAAACUGCUUUUGUACGGAACGAAAAGGUCUUUUCUAAUAAAGAAGGCUCAUGACGGUACCGUAAGAAAUAAGCACCGGGCUAACUACGUGCCAGCAGCCGCGGUAAUACGGAGGAUCCAAGCGUUAUCCGGAUCAUUGGGUUUAAAGGGUCCGUAGCGG
rnacentral:rRNA from 1 species